CCCGCGCGGGCGAGUGUGUCUGGGCCUGGGCGGAGGGAUCCCCGGGCUGAGGCGGCGGAGGUGCUGCGGCCCGGGGCCGGGUGGUGAAUGGGCUGGUGGUGCUCGCUGCUGCUGCUGAGAGGAGGAGGAGGAGGAUGAAGAGUUGGGCUUGUUUGUCUCCCACAGUUUCUCUCCUGCUGCUCUGAUUCCUCCCUCCCCAUUCCGGCCCGGGGCCUGUGUGUGUCUCUCCUGGAGGAGGAGGAGGCUCCAGUUCCUCCCCCCCACCCCCUCCUCCCCACCCCCCCUUGCCUGGGGAAGAGGAGGAAAGAAACAGCCCAGAGAGAGAGAGAGAGAGAGAGAGAGAGAAAGAGAGAGAGUGUGAGUGAGUGAGAGAGAGGAGAGGAGGAGGAGGAGGGAGAAGGGAACAACCUACCAUCUUAACACACUAAUAUCUAAAAAGUGCGAGAGGCCCAGAGCAGCAGCAGCAGAAGCAGCAGCGGCAGCUCCAGCCUCUUCCCUCCCUCCCCAUGAAGAAGAGUUCCCUCCUCCUCCUCCUCCUGCUUCUCCUGCUCAGAGUUCCUGCCUCCAGCUGCCAGGGGGGACAGCCAGCCAGCAGCAGGAGGGGGACUGGAGAGCUGAAGGAGCGCCAGCUUCUCCAGAAUUGGACUUCUCAGAACCUUUAAUAUGCUAAUGUGCAUUGUGAAUCUCCAAGAUGGGGAUAUGAUAUGCAGCAUUCUUGAAUACUUCUAAUGACAGGGAGCCCACUACCUCAUAAGCUGCAGCAACAAGAGGAGCUUGUAAUUUUAAACGGAGGCUGAAGACACUGUAGAAUUAGCAGACAUAAGAGAGCGUGGAGAAGGCAGAGGAUGGAGUUGCAGACUCUACAGGAGGCUCUUAAAGUGGAAAUUCAGGUUCACCAGAAACUGGUUGCCCAAAUGAAGCAGGAUCCACAGAAUGCUGACUUAAAGAAACAGCUUCAUGAACUCCAAGCCAAAAUCACAGCUUUGAGUGAGAAACAGAAAAGAGUAGUUGAGCAGCUGCGCAAGAACCUGAUAGUCAAACAAGAGCAGCCGGACAAGUUCCAGAUACAGCCAUUGUCACAGUCUGAAAACAAACUACAAACAGCACAGCAGCAGCCACUACAGCCACUGCAGCAGCAGCAACCGCAGCAACCGCAGCAGCAGCAGCAGCAGCAGCAGCAGCACGCCCAGCAGUCAGCAGCAGCACCGCCUAGUCUAACUGCAUCACAGAAGACUGUAACUACAGCUUCUAUGAUUACCACAAAGACACUACCUCUCGUCUUGAAAGCAGCAACUGCGACCAUGCCUGCCUCUGUUGUGGGCCAGAGACCUACCAUUGCUAUGGUGACCGCCAUCAACAGCCAGAAGGCUGUGCUCAGCACUGAUGUGCAGAACACACCAGUCAACCUCCAGACGUCUAGUAAGGUCACUGGGCCUGGGGCAGAGGCUGUCCAAAUUGUGGCAAAAAACACAGUCACUCUGCAGGUUCAAGCAACACCUCCUCAGCCCAUCAAAGUACCACAGUUUAUCCCUCCUCCUAGACUCACUCCACGCCCAAACUUCCUUCCACAGGUUCGACCCAAGCCUGUGGCCCAGAAUAACAUUCCUAUCGCUCCAGCGCCUCCUCCCAUGCUUGCAGCUCCUCAGCUUAUCCAGAGGCCUGUCAUGCUGACCAAGUUUACACCCACAACCCUCCCCACAUCCCAGAAUUCCAUCCACCCUGUCCGUGUUGUCAAUGGACAGACUGCAACCAUAGCCAAAACGUUCCCCAUGGCCCAGCUCACCAGCAUUGUCAUAGCUACUCCAGGGACCAGACUCCCUGGACCUCAGACUGUACAGCUUAGCAAACCAAGCCUGGAGAAACAGACAGUUAAAUCCCACCCAGAAGCAGAGGAAAAACAAGCAGAGAGCCGUACCGUUACCCCACCUGCUGCACCAAAACCAAAACGAGAAGAGAACCCUCAGAAACUUGCCUUCAUGGUGUCUCUAGGGUUGGUAACACAUGACCAUCUAGAAGAAAUCCAAAGCAAGAGGCAGGAAAGAAAGAGAAGAACAACAGCAAACCCGGUGUACAGUGGGGCUGUCUUUGAGCCAGAGCGUAAGAAGAGUGCAGUCACUUACCUUAACAGCACAAUGCAUCCUGGGACGCGGAAGAGAGCCAAUGAGGAACACUGGCCAAAGGUAUGUAAGAUCAUUUUCCCCUGUCUUUCCCCCCCUCCUCCCCUUUUGUUCCCUUCUCUUGGUAUAUAGGUCGUCCUCCAAAAUACAAUGCGGUGCUGGGGUUUGGAGCCCUUACCCCAACAUCCCCCCCAUCCAGUCAUCCCGACUCCCCUGAAAAUGAAAAGACAGAGACCACAUUCACUUUCCCUGCACCUGUUCAGCCUGUGUCUUUGCCCAGCCCCACCUCCACAGACGGUGAUAUCCAUGAGGAUUUUUGCAGUGUUUGCAGAAAAAGUGGCCAGUUGCUGAUGUGUGACACGUGUUCCCGUGUGUAUCAUCUGGACUGCUUAGAGCCGCCCCUGAAAACAAUUCCCAAGGGCAUGUGGAUCUGUCCCAGAUGUCAGGACCAGAUGCUAAAGAAGGAAGAAGCAAUUCCUUGGCCUGGAACCUUAGCCAUUGUUCAUUCCUACAUCGCCUACAAAGCAGCAAAAGAAGAGGAGAAACAGAAGCUACUUAAGUGGAGUUCAGAUUUAAAACAGGAGCGGGAACAACUGGAGCAGAAGGUCAAAGAGCUCAGCAGUUCUAUAAGUAAAUGUAUGGAGAUGAAGAGCAGCAUCCUGGCGCGGCAGAAGGAGAUGCGCAGCUCCCUGGACAAGGUGAAGCGGCUCAUCCGCCUUGUGCAUGGCGUCGACCUCUGCAGACCUGUGGACUCAGAGGCCACGGCGGGGGCCCUCUCCAAUGGCCCAGACUGCACUCCCCCUGCCAACGCCGCCUCCACACCCGCCCCUUCCCCCUCCUCGCAGAGCUGCACAGCGAACUGUAACCAGGGGGAAGAGACUAAAUAACAGAGCCCUCGAGGCGGACAUGCCACAGUCCUGGUGGCGAGGAGACGCUAGAAGAGCAAAGCCGGAUUUCUUCUGGAAAGUACAGAGUUCUUUUGGUUCUUUGGUUCCAGAGAGAGAGAAGAUGCUUGUGCCAGGUGGCACCCGAGUUUGCCAAUUGAUUCUUGUUAUUCUGUGUGUACAUGCAAAGACUGGACCAUGUUACAUGAAAUAGUGCCAGCUGGAGGUUCUUUGCCAGCACCAUGCCAAGUGACAUAAUAUAUUACUCUCUCUAUUAUACACCAGUGUGUGCCUGCAGCAGCCUCCACAGCCACGGUGGGUUCGUUUUUGUUUUGUUGGGUGGGGAGCAGGGACGGGCGGAGGGAGGAGAGCAGGUUUCAGAUCCUUACUGGGAGCCGUUUGUUUAGGUAGAAAGACAAGUCCAAAGAGUGUGUGGGCUUUCCUGUUCCUAAACUUUUCACUACCAUAAAACCAAAAAACGAAAAAAAAAGAAAAAAAGAUAAAAAAGGAAAUAGAGAUUUAACUAACCCAGUGCCCAGAAGAGGGACGGGAAGGGCUGGGAGGGGGCAAGGGUGGGAAAGUAUAUGACAUAAGCAGUAUUUAACGUUCCUGGAGGGGCCGAAGUGCAAGAGGAGAGCCCCGCCCCUCCCUAGCUCGCCCCGCCCACAGCCUCCAGCAGCCCCUCCCCUCUGCUUGGUGUAGUGCAGAGCCCGGGUGGUUCUAGGCCUUGUUAAGCAGGGAAGGGAGGGUGCGAGGGGUCCGGAGGGAGAAAGGCGGAUCAGAGGUUUACUUGAAAACAAGCUCCAUCCCUUUUCUAUAUUUAUAAGAAGAGAAGGUUCUAAGCAGAGCAGCACGACCCAGGUGUGUGUGAAUGGAGACAACCCUUUUCUCUUCUUCAAGUUUAUUUUGUUUCUGUUCUUGUUUUGUUUAAACAAAGUUUUGUUUUGUUGUUUAUUUUUCCUUUCUUUCUUUCUUUCUUUCUUUCUUUCUUUCUUUUUAACAAGAACUAAAAUAAGAAAUAGAAAAGCUGUUUUUUCAGGCUGACGGUCCUGUUGAGGGUAGCGGAGACCUUGCAUGAUAGAGUAGGCGUCAUAGUGUCAAGUGAGGUCGGUGAGUCUGUGUGCGUCCUGUGUCAUCAGUCAGGCACUGUUCUGGUUUGUUUGUUUUGUUUUUUACUUUCUGGUUUUGUUUUCUGGUUUUGUUUUUUGUUUUUUCAUGCAAGGGCAAAAAAAAAAAUCUUUGUACCUGGGGAAAACAACUUUUUUUUUAUUAAAAAGGAAAAUAAAAGAUAUUGAGGUCUUCCUAGUGUUACUUAAAUUAAGAUCAAGGUAAGAAACAUUGUAAAAAUUACAAAAGUGCUAUUUGUUUCCUAAAAACAGUGAUUUUUAUUAAAAAGGUGUCAGAACUGGAGAAAACGCUGUGUAGUGACAGUUUUUUAGCACAGAGCCUACUGAUCCUGAUGACAUUUUACUGUGUUGUAUCUCUAGACUGGUGUGCCAGUUUCCUGCAGGGCCGGGUCCGCCCCCUCCUCGCUCCUCCCUACUCAGACUUGCUGUCUCCUUGGUACAGGGAUCUCAUCUCCUGUUUGAAGCCAAAAUGGAAUGUGCAUAGUGUCAGGGCGUUCCCACGGUCUCAGACCUUGCUAGAACGCAGGCUGGUGCCCACCUAGCCCUUCCCUUGGUGCUGCUCUGUCUUACAGCCACCAGCAUUACUUAUGCCUCGGGGGCCCCUUGGGGGACUGACCAGUGAGGCUCCUCACUGCCUGUAUACUUGGCCUCCAGGAGGGUAUAGGAUGCAGGCUGGCUGCAUCAGGGAGGAAAUGCUUUGAGAGUCCGUAUGUCUCUAAGAGCCCAGGUAGCCUUCAAGUCCAUCUUGCGUUAAAGAGAGAAAUCUGAAGCUCUAGGGGGUCUCUGCCUGCCCGCCCCAAGGUCAGAGUUCACUCCCAUUCCACUCACUCACAUGCUUCCUGGGUGUUCCUGGGCUAGAAUCACUAUGCUUGCCUUGUGUGGCCUAGUGUAGACUUUUCUUCUUGGAAAAAUGGGGUUCUGAAAGGCUCUCUACUCAUCUCCCCGACAAUACCAUAGGGAACAUAACUCUACGAGACGCAUGCUCCCAGUGGAAAUCUUUAUCUGAUCCAUGUCCUUGAGUGAAGGGACAGAGACCUAGGCUCUACCCCCAGGUCUGAAAGCAGCAUCUCUCUGAGCCCGCCAGGCUCCCAAGUCUAGGAGUAGCAGGAAAGACCCCUUUGCUUCUUCCUUGCCCAGUUAGGUCCAUGGAAAAUGAGCUGGAUCCUGACUGAAACUACAGCAGACAAGAGGUGCUUGUGAGAGUGAGCCAGGCCCAUCCACACCAGCCACCCAUUCACUUCCCAGCGUUUGAGAAGAGGGCAGGUAGUCUGGCCACACAGGCCUCAGCUUCAGGCCUCUGGCUUCAGGUUGACUGAGGGGAGCAGAGAAAAGCCCUCUUUUCUUAUUUAGGAACUAAGGUGCUGUCUAGUUAGCGGGCGUUGGAGAUGCCUGGACUAGUUGGAUCUUUGGCAGAGGAUCAGAGACCAGCUGCAGGCUGAUAUCCUGUCUCAGCUCCCCCAACCUGCCAACCCCCUGUUGGACUUGUCUGGGCCCAUAGGCUGGGGCUUGGCACAUACUACCUACCUGUGAUGGGAAGAGGUUGACAAGCCAUCAACAAUCACUACAGGCCUUUGCUCCAGAAGAGCUGCUGGUGGCAGCACGAGACCCGAGCAGCAUAGACUCCCAUCUUCUGAUGUUUGGAAAUGAGUUGCUUUGAGUCAACUGGAGUGAAGUAAAAAAAUGUAGCCCUGCUCCAAGCCUCCACUGUGGGUCCUGCCCCUUCCGUCUACUUGCCCUUACCUCUGUCAGCACAAAGCUCUUCUCUGUCCCUUUAGACCUGUGCGUACCUGGGACCACCUGGGACAUACACACACACUGCCCCUUCAGAGCCGCUUCCAAGCUCCCAUCCUCCCUCCCCUACCUGCGUGUGUUGCUCUUGUAGCCACAUGUGUAAGGCUCGCUAGCAUGGCAGUCACUUUGGAGGGCCUUGGACUGGGAGUCCCCUUGUCCCCAGGGUCAGGCUGGCAGGUGUAGGCCAUAGAGGUCAGCACCAUCGCCUUCCUCCCCUAAAGGGUCCUCUCUCUUUCUGAGCCACUGUCUUGUCUGCCUCCGCUGAGCUUAACCAGUUCUCGUUUUUUCCCUUGCUUGUCUGGCUUUGGGAGGUAAGGCUGCUGAUGACGUCCUUCAAGAAAGUCUCAGAAGCAGUCCCCGAUGGCUUUACCUGAGUAGGGCCUGCCUCUAUAGGCAGUAACAGCCACAGGCAGCCUCCAGCUGGCCCCCAUCUUAGUGACUGGCAUCCUCUUAGGGGCACCUCUCCUGCUGCUGCUUCUUGUCUCAUGCCCAUCAGGCAGUGGUAAGGUACAUGUGUACCCAGCACUGCCCAAGCGACUGUGUCUCCAGCUGUCUGUCUACACCUACAGCUGCCUCUCUGCCGCCUCUCUGAUGCUUCCUCUUGGGGCUUGACUUCUUGACUCUCCCUACCAGCCCCCUCCCUCCAGCUCACAACCUUUAAAUGGUCUCUUCCCUUUAGGCCCUCCUUUGGUAUGGACCUUACCUAACUAAAGGGCUGAACUCUUGAGGACAUUCCUCCCAGGGGCAGGAGUAGGACGGACCAGUUGGUCCUUCUCUGGACACUGGGUUCUCCAGACCCCAUGGCUUCUGUUGAAUGCAGGCUACUUUGCUCUGUGUAAAUGAUUGUGGACCUUGUCCCACCCCACAUCCCAGCACCCCUGGCAGAAAACAGGAGUAUCACUUCUCAUCCUACCUUUAGCCGGUGCUCCUGGUCAGCUCCUCCCCGAGAAGGAAUUGGGUGACCCCUAGGGAAGAUUCCACUGGUCCUCCCCAGGGAAUGAAGAGUCCCACCUGGCAGCCUUGGCCCCUGCACCCCUCUCCAGUGUUCUUGCUCUUAGCCCAGGGUGAGUUGCAGUCAGGUGGGUGGGCUGAGCAGACCAGAAGUCAGCAAGCUCCACCACGCAUACAGCCAGCCAGACCCAGUCCUGUCUGUGUCCAUGCCCUUUGUGAUUUCAGUCUUGGUAGAAUUUGUAUUUGGAGUUUUGUGCUUCAAAGUUUCUGUUUCAUUUGUUCGGUUUUUGUUUCGAGGGGGUGGGGGGUACAGAGCAGCCGAUCAAUUUGUAUUUAUUUAUUUUAACAUUUUACUAAAUAAAGCCAAAUGAAGCCUC